rnacentral:rRNA from 1 species
GAUGAACGCUGGCGGCGUGCCUAAUACAUGCAAGUCGAACGAAACUUCUUUAUCACCGAGUGCUUGCACUCACCGAUAAAGAGUUGAGUGGCGAACGGGUGAGUAACACGUGGGCAACCUGCCCAAAAGAGGGGGAUAACACUUGGAGACAGGUGCUAAUACCGCAUAACCAUAGUUACCGCAUGGUAACUAUGUAAAAGGUGGCUAUACUACCGCUUUUGGAUGGGCCCGCGGCGCAUUAGCUAGUUGGUAGGGUAAAGGCUUACCAAGGCAAUGAUGCGUAGCCGAAUUGAGAGGUUGAUCGGCCACAUUGGGACUGAGACACGGCCCAAACUCCUACGGGAGGCAGCAGUAGGGAAUCUUCCACAAUGGGCGAAAGCCUGAUGGAGCAACGCCGCGUGGGUGAAGGAGGUCUUCGGAUCGUAAAACCCUGUUGUUAGAGAAGAAAGUGCGUGAGAGUAACUGUUCACGUUUCGACGGUAUCUAACCAGAAAGCCACGGCUAACUACGUG